rnacentral:ncRNA from 1 species
GGUUUGGUCCUGACUUUACUAUCAACUUUAGCUAGACUUACACAUGCAAGUAUCCGCACCCCUGUGAGAAUGCCCUACAGUUCCCUGUUUGGGAACAAGGAGCUGGUAUCAGGCACAACCCACCUACAAGCCCAUGACACCUUGCUUAGCCACACCCUCAAGGGAACUCAGCAGUGAUAAACAUUAAGCCAUAAGUGAAAACUUGACUUAGUUAAAGCUAAGAGGGCCGGUAAAACUCGUGCCAGCCACCGCGGUUAUACGAGAGACCCAAGUUGAUAGACACCGGCGUAAAGAGUGGUUAAGAUUUACCCAAAACUAAAGCCGAACGCCCUCAGAGCUGUUAUACGCACCCGAGGGUUAGAAGCCCAACCACGAAAGUGGCUUUAAACAAUCUGAACCCACGAAAGCUAUGACACAAACUGGGAUUAGAUACCCCACUAUGCCUAGCCAUAAACAUUGAUAGUAAACUACCCCUCCUAUCCGCCCGGGGACUACGAGCAUCAGCUUAAAACCCAAAGGACUUGGCGGUGCUUUAGAUCCACCUAGAGGAGCCUGUUCUAGAACCGAUUACCCCCGUUCAACCUCACCUUUCCUUGUUUCCCCCGCCUAUAUACCACCGUCGUCAGCUUACCCUGUGAAGGACUUAUAGUAAGCAAGAUUGGCAUAGCCCAAAACGUCAGGUCGAGGUGUAGCGUAUGGAAGGGGAAGAAAUGGGCUACAUUCCCUAACAUAGUGAAUAUACGAACGAUGCACUGAAAUACGCAUCUGAAGGAGGAUUUAGCAGUAAGCAGAAAAUAGAGCGUUCUGCUGAAACCGGCCCUGAAGCGCGCACACACCGCCCGUCACUCU